rnacentral:rRNA from 1 species
GGAGGAAAGUAGGGGAUCGUAAGACCUCGCGUUAAUGGAGUGGCCGAUAUCUGAUUAGCUAGUUGGUGAGGUAAAGGCUCACCAAGGCGACGAUCAGUAGCUGGUCUGAGAGGACGACCAGCCACACUGGAACUGAGACACGGUCCAGACUCCUACGGGAGGCAGCAGUGGGGAAUUUUGGACAAUGGGCGCAAGCCUGAUCCAGCCAUUCCGCGUGAGUGAAGAAGGCCUUCGGGUUGUAAAGCUCUUUCGCAAGGGAAGAAAACUUACUCAAUAACACUGGGUGAGGCUGACGGUACCUUGAUAAGAAGCACCGGCUAACUACGUGCCAGCAGCCGCGGUAAUACGUAGGGUGCGAGCGUUAAUCGGAAUUACUGGGCGUAAAGCGUGCGCAGGCGGUUUUGUAAGUCAGAUGUGAAAGCCCCGGGCUCAACCUGGGAACUGCGUUUGAAACUACAAGGCUAG